UGUGUGUGUGUGUCAGCGGCUGCAAAGCAAUGCUUGUGUGUAUGGGUGUUUAUUUGUUGAGCUGAAAAGCUGAUCAUGUUUGUACACUGAAAAGUGUGAAUAAAUGUCUUACAUUUUGAUGUUCUCCUGGCUCCCACUUCCUCUUCCCAACCGAGCAAGAGGUCUUUCACAGGAUCCAACAGGAAUUUGCUGUCAUUGAUGAGGAUGCACCUUUGUGGGACAUGUAAAUAUUUUGAAUGUACUGUAUGGCAAGAUGCUGCCAGAUACCUUGGUUGUUAAAGACCGGAUGCAGCAAACUUUUUUCAUGGUGGAGAAGGGAGAAGGAAGAUGGAAUGACUGGUGGAUAAAAACUCUCCGGUUUAUGUGAUGAAAUCCAUUCAUCAACUGUCCAGUGUUUAAAGGAAAAAAAUUAUUUUGGCCAAAAUAUACAUUGAAGCAAGAGAGGACAUGCUUUCAGAAGAUCUUCCAGGGCCAGGAGCACAUGUCUUUCAGCCACUCAAGCUCCACCGUACCUGCUGUUGCUGUCAAGCCUCCUCGCCAACUCUGACAUCUGUUCUCGAGAGCACCUGGUGAAUCUGAAUGUCAAUAUCCUCGCCUUGAACUGCAACAGAGAAGUGUUUGUCAGUCAGCGACAAUCAUCCCUCAAAUUAAAGGUUAGCAAGACGAUGCAGGCCUUUAAUCAGUUGGUUAGAGCGCGUCUGUCAAUGGUGCCUUUUAAACAUGAAGGAGACGCGGCUAGCCACCAAUGAGUCAAGUGAUUGAUCUGCCCAAAUCAUUUUCAUUUGCCACUAUCAGUGGAAAGCUGAUGGCAAGUUUGCUGUCAGGGGGGAUUAAAUAUGACUCCACCCUGGCUGCUGAUAAAUCCUCUUCUUGGAACACUCAUUCUUUGUCACCCUGAGGAACAUUGUUUAAGCCUAGUUGAGACUGAGGUCAUAAAAAAGCAGCCUGCUCAUCAUUAAGAGCUGUGUUCUAUUAAGAGUUUA